GACGAACGCUGGCGGCGUGCUUAACACAUGCAAGUCGAACGAAGAGCGAUGGAAGCUUGCUUCUAUCAAUCUUAGUGGCGAACGGGUGAGUAACGCGUAAUCAACCUGCCCUUCAGAGGGGGACAACAGUUGGAAACGACUGCUCAUACCGCAUACGAUCUAACCUCGGCAUCGAGGAUAGAUGAAAGGUGGCCUCUACAUGUAAGCUAUCACUGAAGGAGGGGAUUGCGUCUGAUUAGCUAGUUGGAGGGGUAACGGCCCACCAAGGCGAUGAUCAGUAGCCGGUCUGAGAGGAUGAACGGCCACAUUGGGACUGAGACACGGCCCAGACUCCUACGGGAGGCAGCAGUGGGGAAUCUUCCGCAAUGGACGAAAGUCUGACGGAGCAACGCCGCGUGAGUGAUGACGGCCUUCGGGUUGUAAAGCUCUGUUAAUCGGGACGAAAGGCCUUCUUGCGAAUAGUUAGAAGGAUUGACGGUACCGGAAUAGAAAGCCACGGCUAACUACGUG
rnacentral:rRNA from 1 species